rnacentral:lncRNA from 1 species
ACAGGAAGGAUGGCUCCACCAGGCUGCCAGUGCCACUGUUCUUAUGGUUGCCAUCUCAUCAUUGUUAUGGCAGUCUCCACUGUUGCCUUGGCCAUGGCCAGUUACAUCAAAUGGACCUCAAUGAGGUGUCCAAGUUGAAUGCUACGGUUUAGGAUCAAGAGGAGCAGCACUGCCAGGAGGGGGCCCUGAGCCUUCUACAACACCUGUGGCAAUAUUGGGACCUUCCAGGAAGUAACUCUGAAGCUCUUGAUAGAAGGAAUCACAAAUAAACUUAUUGGCCAUUGUAUGGGUGAUAUAAAGGAGGAUGUAGACCUUGAGAAUUUAUAGCAGUAAGACUGAGUUGCUAAUUGAAGAGAUAACGGAAGUAAAGGGUUUCAGAGUGCCAUAGACUCUACUGUACCUUCUAUCACAGUUCUACUGGACCUCUAUUUAUGGACCACACAGUAAAUGUAUACAGGGAGAAGCACUGGAUCCAAAGCAUGCUGGCAACUCAGUCAUUUUCAAGCUAAGAGCUGUUCAGCUUAUUAACAUUUUGGCUAUUUAUGCACACAAUGACUGGAUUCCUAAGUCUAAUCUAUGACUAUAUAUGGGAAAAUACUUCUCUCUCAUUCCCACAGAAUUUGCAUACAAAGACAUUAAUAAAAUGUUCCUAAGAGAUAUUCCAGGCUCUCAGAUUCAUCAGUAGGUGAUGACUUAUUUGAAGGAGAUUCUCUCCAACAUGGGCUCAUCAGUCAUGCUUUGCCAUAAUGGCCUAUUUUGCACAAAUGCAAUCAGCAAUGAGAAACAAAGUGACAUACAGUUCAAUGAUUGUGAACAUUCUAGAUACAACUACCUAGCACAUGAUAUUAGAAGUCAUUUUAAUAAAUUUGUAGGUGUGCUUUAUGUAUAGUCUCUAUCCAGGCAAAGAACUACAGGGCCCAUGGCUGCAUUCUUAUCUUGAAGUCUACAAAAAGUAUAAGGACUUUGGAAUUAAAUUUACUAAAAAGAAGGUAGCCAUAUUCUUUAUUCAAGCCUGUCAGUUUGCAUUGGCCUCUAGUUUCUUUUGGAAUUGUGAGCUUUCAUUCAAGCCAAAUACUCCACUAAGUUUUAUUUCCUUGGGUGUGCAAUAGUUCAUUUUAACCAAUACUUCAAAAUAAAGCCUGAGAUCGCUGCAUUAAGAGUGCUUGAGUAA